rnacentral:rRNA from 1 species
UACGUAGGGUGCAAGCGUUGUCCGGAAUUAUUGGGCGUAAAGAGCUCGUAGGCGGUCUGUCACGUCGGCUGUGAAAACCCGGGGCUCAACCCCGGGCCUGCAGUCGAUACGGGCAGACUAGAGUGCGGUAGGGGAGACUGGAAUUCCUGGUGUAGCGGUGAAAUGCGCAGAUAUCAGGAGGAACACCGGUGGCGAAGGCGGGUCUCUGGGCCGUAACUGACGCUGAGGAGCGAAAGUGUGGGGAGCGAACAGG